GGUGGCUCAGUGGUAGAGUGCUUGCCUCACAUGCAUGAGGCCUGGGUUCAAUUCCUUUUAGCACUA
rnacentral:tRNA from 1 species